AUUGAACGCUGGCGGCAUGCCUUACACAUGCAAGUCGAACGGUAACAGGUCUUCGGAUGCUGACGAGUGGCGAACGGGUGAGUAAUACAUCGGAACGUGCCUAGUAGUGGGGGAUAACUACUCGAAAGAGUGGCUAAUACCGCAUGAGAUCUACGGAUGAAAGCAGGGGAUCGCAAGACCUUGUGCUACUAGAGCGGCCGAUGGCAGAUUAGGUAGUUGGUGGGAUAAAAGCUUACCAAGCCGACGAUCUGUAGCUGGUCUGAGAGGACGAUCAGCCACGCGGGGACUGAGACACGGCCCAGACUCCUACGGGAGGCAGCAGUGGGGAAUUUUGGACAAUGGGCGAAAGCCUGAUCCAGCAAUGCCGCGUGCAGGAUGAAGGCCUUCGGGUUGUAAACUGCUCUUGUACGGAACGAAAAGCCCCGGGUUAAUACCCUGGGGUCAUGACGGUACCGUAAGAAUAAGCACCGGCUAACUACGUGCCAGCCGCCGCGGUAA
rnacentral:rRNA from 1 species